rnacentral:rRNA from 1 species
CGGACGGGUGAGGAAUACAUCGGAAUCUACUCUGUCGUGGGGGAUAACGUAGGGAAACUUACGCUAAUACCGCAUACGACCUACGGGUGAAAGCAGGGGAUCUUCGGACCUUGCGCGAUUGAAUGAGCCGAUGUCGGAUUAGCUAGUUGGCGGGGUAAAGGCCCACCAAGGCGACGAUCCGUAGCUGGUCUGAGAGGAUGAUCAGCCACACUGGAACUGAGACACGAUCCAGACUCCUACGGGAGGCAGCAGAC